rnacentral:lncRNA from 1 species
GCUGGUAGGUAGCAGACUGUGAGACGCAGCUGAUGGUCAAAUGUAUACUCUAAUCGGUCAUGAAAAAUUAUAUUUAAUUCACUUAGGUUUACUUGAGAGACUUGAAGCUAAAGGAUCAGCCAAAAUACCCUUCAAUUCUGAAACUUUUUUGGCCCAGUUCCUAAACUCUGAAUACCCAAGAAUUUCAUAUUUGACAUUUCAAGCCAGGACACAGCUGAUCCUUGUGGCUUAAACCUUCAGUAAUUAUAUAAAUGAACUAACAAAAUUAUUUUCUUCUACAUUGAUGUUCCUUUUAUCUACAUAACUUUCCUAGGAAGCACUGUAACUGUAAGUAAAGGACCUCAUGUUAUAAGCUUCUGUUUUCAGUCUCAGGGACUUUUAGUUUGGUAAGCCUUUCUUGAAGAUGUAUGACUUUUUUUUUUUUAAUUUUUAUUUAAUCUUCCUUGCAAGCAGGUUUGUUCUGAGAGCUGUUUUACCAAAGAUGUGUCACUGAAAAAUGGUACUGUGGACAGCAUAGCCUGCUGAACCUGCUCCGAGUGAGAAAUAGCUUUCCUCUAUCAGCACCAUCUCGUCUAUGUUGUAUGUGAAUCAGCAGCACCUAAAAGACAAGAAGCAGUGUGCUUUGGAAUACACUUUCAGGCUUUAUAUCUUUUCACACCAGUGGACAGUCCAACAUGCCUUAAGUGAUUGUUCAGAACACUUUAUAAAACGAAAAAUAAAUCAGCUGACUGAAAUUUUACUGAGAGGCAUAGAGAGAAGAAAACCAAAGUCAGCCGUAUCAGAGGGAAGCAAGUUCAUUUUUCCCCACUAA